rnacentral:tRNA from 1 species
GGUCCCAUCGUCUAGGGGUUAGGACACCAGGUUUUCAUCCUGGCAACCGGGGUUCGAAUCCCCGUGGGACUACCA